rnacentral:misc_RNA from 1 species
AUUUUUUGUUCCUGUAUAACUUAGUUCCAAGGUUGACUGUGCCAGCAACGUACUGUAUAAACUGGUUAUGUGAUAUAAUGAAUUGAAAAGUAUAUGCUAAAUAGAGAGAGUUUUCAUAGAGCUUGCAUCUCGAGGUUGGUUUGUUCAGAGUUAUUUGCUGAGGAAGGUACAUAUUCGCGGUUGUCGCUUGCAGCAGCAUUCAUCUCCUGAAUCGGUGGAGGAUUGACUAUUGUCAUCGGCAGGGCAGAAUUAUCUGACAGACGAUUCUUCAUCUCUCUAUGCUCCUGGCACAAGGCACACCAG